UACGUAGGGGGCGAGCGUUGUCCGGAUUUACUGGGCGUAAAGGGCGCGUAGGCGGCCACCGCAAGUCGACUGUGAAAUCUCCGGGCUUAACCCGGAAAGGUCAGCCGAUACUGCGGGGCUAGAGUGCAGAAGGGGCAACUGGAAUUCUCGGUGUAGCGGUGAAAUGCGUAGAUAUCGAGAGGAACACCUGCGGCGAAGGCGGGUUGCUGGGCUGACACUGACGCUGAUGCGCGAAAGCUAGGGGAGCGAACGGG
rnacentral:rRNA from 1 species